rnacentral:rRNA from 1 species
GAGUAACGCGUGAGCAACCUGCCUAUGACAGUGGGAUAGCCUCGGGAAACCGGGAUUAAUACCGCAUAAAAUCGUAGAAACACAUGUUUUAACGGUCAAAGAUUUAUCGGUCAUAGAUGGGCUCGCGUCUGAUUAGCUAGUUGGUGAGAUAACAGCCCACCAAGGCGACGAUCAGUAGCCGGUCUGAGAGGAUGAACGGCCACAUUGGAACUGAGACACGGUCCAA